CUUCUUGGUCGUGGAUAAUCAUCGAUACUAAUUACUCUGCCACCGCGACGUAUGGACUCCUCGCCAUAAAUGCUUCCAGGUUAAAAACCUACCCGUGCUGCAAUCGGCAUCACGCACACCAGCAUGCUCACUUCGCCUCCAGUGGCACCGGUCUCCACAUAGUUGCGCUCCAGCUCGAAAGCUGCUCCACGUUUUGCCCCUCCACACGAUUUGAUUGCAUCUCGCUCAAGCCCACUAAUUUGUUGGAUUCCGCAUGCAAGCGAGUUUAUUGGAUUCUGCGUCUUAAUCGUUGAAGCUAUGAGAAAGCAGCGAUCAUCACGUUUGCUGCCUACGGACGCUGUAACAUGUAUUUGCUACCCUGGAGUCUCCGCUGAUUCUCUCCAGAAAUUUUCAGGAGUUGGGUUAAGGCUAUCUCAGGACCCAAGUUAAGCUACCCUAUAUGCAACUAGGGUUGAUGGCACUGUAUGUUCAUCCUUUGAUCUGAAUUUUAUAUGGUGCUUUUAUCCAACAUGCAAUUUAGGUAACUGGUGUUUUUAUGAAGCUUGAGAAACAAAUACAGAUCCACUAUUGCAAAGAAUAUUUGAAUGACCGGUGAUUUCUAUGUAUUUGAUUGGAUUUCUAAUGAAGUUCAGUUAGAUCAGUUUCUAUCGUUAUGGGAAGAGAUCCAGUCUGUCUUUUUGCUUGACACUCAAAAAUCCUCCCUGAACCUCUCCGCGCAUGGUGUUUAUUCAGCAAAGAGUGCUUAUGAAGCUCGGUUUUUUCGCAAAAUUCAUUCCAUGAACUUGCUAGAGCUGAACCUAAAGUGCAAUUAUUCCUCCGGUUGCUGUCUUUGAACCAUCUUAUGGACUUCUGACAAGGUGCUACAUUGCUGCUUCUGUGAUGACGCGUUAGAAUCUGAUGUGCACCUAUUUCUUGGGUGCCCCUUUACGAAAUUGAUUUGGUAGCCCCAACCCAGAUUGUUCCCAUUGCCUUCAACUCAAACUAUAUUGCCAGUUGGUCGGCGCAAUGUCUAAAAGAACGGAAGAAGCAUCAUACAAAUCAUUAGCUUUCAGCCGUUGUGUAUAUUAUUUGGCAUAUAUUGAAGACUAGAAGCCGACGUGUCCUCGACUACAAGAAAUUUUGCUGGAUAGGAUUGCCCAUCUGGCCUAAGAUGAUCUGUUGGCUGGGUUAGAUUUUAGAGGACUAAUAACUGCCUGUUAUUUUUGUUUCGUUUUUCUCUUUGUUUCUCCCAGGCUGCUUAAGCCUCUGUACAGUUAUACCCCAUCUAUAGUACGGUACAUCACUGUAUUUCGAUGGUAACAAAUAAUAGUUGACAGUCUCUUUCACAUAUUUCUUUUUUCUCUUACAACUAUGAGAUUAUGCCACGUUU